rnacentral:rRNA from 2 species
UUUAUGGAGAGUUUGAUCCUGGCUCAGGAUGAACGCUGGCGGCGUGCCUAAUACAUGCAAGUCGAGCGAACGGACGAGAAGCUUGCUUCUCUGAUGUUAGCGGCGGACGGGUGAGUAACACGUGGAUAACCUACCUAUAAGACUGGGAUAACUUCGGGAAACCGGAGCUAAUACCGGAUAAUAUUUUGAACCGCAUGGUUCAAAAGUGAAAGACGGUCUUGCUGUCACUUAUAGAUGGAUCCGCGCUGCAUUAGCUAGUUGGUAAGGUAACGGCUUACCAAGGCAACGAUGCAUAGCCGACCUGAGAGGGUGAUCGGCCACACUGGAACUGAGACACGGUCCAGACUCCUACGGGAGGCAGCAGUAGGGAAUCUUCCGCAAUGGGCGAAAGCCUGACGGAGCAACGCCGCGUGAGUGAUGAAGGUCUUCGGAUCGUAAAACUCUGUUAUUAGGGAAGAACAUAUGUGUAAGUAACUGUGCACAUCUUGACGGUACCUAAUCAGAAAGCCACGGCUAACUACGUGCCAGCAGCCGCGGUAAUACGUAGGUGGCAAGCGUUAUCCGGAAUUAUUGGGCGUAAAGCGCGCGUAGGCGGUUUUUUAAGUCUGAUGUGAAAGCCCACGGCUCAACCGUGGAGGGUCAUUGGAAACUGGAAAACUUGAGUGCAGAAGAGGAAAGUGGAAUUCCAUGUGUAGCGGUGAAAUGCGCAGAGAUAUGGAGGAACACCAGUGGCGAAGGCGACUUUCUGGUCUGUAACUGACGCUGAUGUGCGAAAGCGUGGGGAUCAAACAGGAUUAGAUACCCUGGUAGUCCACGCCGUAAACGAUGAGUGCUAAGUGUUAGGGGGUUUCCGCCCCUUAGUGCUGCAGCUAACGCAUUAAGCACUCCGCCUGGGGAGUACGACCGCAAGGUUGAAACUCAAAGGAAUUGACGGGGACCCGCACAAGCGGUGGAGCAUGUGGUUUAAUUCGAAGCAACGCGAAGAACCUUACCAAAUCUUGACAUCCUU